GGAGGAUUGGCAGAGUGGUCGAAUGCGAUGGUUUUGAAAACCAUUGACCCGCAAGGGUCCGCAGGUUCGAAUCCUGUGUCCUCCGCCA
rnacentral:tRNA from 1 species